rnacentral:rRNA from 1 species
UACGAAGGACCCAAGCGUUAUCCGGAUUUAUUGGGUUUAAAGGGUGCGUAGGCGGGUUAUUAAGUCAGUGGUGAAAGCCUGCAGCUUAACUGCAGAAUUGCCAUUGAUACUGAUGAUCUUGAGUAUGAUUGAGGUGGGCGGAAUGUGUCAUGUAGCGGUGAAAUGCUUAGAUAUGACACAGAACACCGAUUGCGAAGGCAGCUCACUAAGCCAAUAACUGACGCUGAUGCACGAAAGCGUGGGGAGCAAACAGG